CACAUUUAUCUCUCCCACAGACCAAACAAACAAUUCCACAGUAAAGGAAAAACUCUUCCUUUCUCUUGUUUCAUCCCCCAUUUUACAGUACCUCACCCAUCUCUGUAAUUUCUCAGUCAUGGCUAUCACAUAAGAAAAAAAAAGAAUUUCUUUCUUCUCUUUUCCUUAUCUUCAACAAAUUUCACUAUCUUUGCACCCCUUUGUUUCUUCUCUGUUCAAUUUUCCAAAUACACCAAUCUGGUUAGACACUUGAUUUUCACCUGAAAAAGAAAAAAAAUGAAUAUUACACAAGUAACUCUUUCAAAUAACUCAAAUAACUCUAGAAGGGAAAUCUUUGACCCGGAAUUAUGGAAACUUAGAGCGGCAAAUCGGAGAGUGGUUGAAGAAUAUGAGAUGUUGCUUCUCCCUUCUGGUGGUUUGAAGGCACAAGAAAUUUUACAAACAGUCAAUGCUUUUGGGUGGAGGUCUUUUGUUCAGUGCCCGGGGGAUUACAAUCGAAACAUAGUUCUGGAAUUCUACAGCAAUCUUAAUCCAGUAAGUCGUACUUCAACCGUGAGGUAAAAUUAUUCGCUUUGAUGCUGAAUUUAUAAACGAUAUUUUUAACUUGAGAAACACUGAUGAUAGCGAGACCAAGAAAUUUAUGGAUGAUCGGGAUGUAGAUUUUGUAAGACAUGUGUUAGGCGAGUUGUGUCCUAAUGGUGUUAAAGUUUACUCGGGAACUGCUGAACGCCCUUUGAAUAUUAACUGUUCAUGUAUGCUUGAAUUAGCAAGAGCCUGGGGUAGAUUCGUUAGUUCUCGCUUAAUCCCGUAUUUGAAUACCUCGAACUACAAUAUAGAAAAAGUUCUUUUGAUAUAUGCGAUUAUGCAUGAAUUGCCUGUGAAUGUGGGGAGAUUGAUUAGCAAUGCUAUGGUUAGUUGUCGGAUCAAGUCUGAUUGUGAAUGCUUGUAUUUUCCUUCAACUAUCACUCGUUUGGCCUCCUUAUUUGAUGUGGAUUUGAGUGGUUUACAGAAGACUGAAAAUUCCUACUUCAUCGGUAGAACUUUCUCCAUAAUUUGAGACCUCCUACUGGUCCAACUCAAGUUGAACAGGAACAAAUGCUUGUUGAUAGUGGAAACGAAGCGGAAAAUGAGCCUGAACAACCUCUUAAUUCAGAAAUUGGAACCACGCCUACCAUCCUCGUUCCUGAUAUUCUGGUGGUGGUUGCCUUAAUGUUACAGGUGCAAAUCUCUAUCAGGGAACACAUGUAUUUGUACCAACACCAUUUCCCACAACAACGAUGGAUAUAAACAGGGGAAGUGGAACUACAGCAAGUCCGAUGACAUUUAGCAGUCAGCCCCUUUCUGUUUUCUCUAAACUGGAAGCUAACCAUGGAGUUGCUACAACUGGAGGUUCGUCAGUUCCUAUUCAACAAGAAAAUGGUUUUGAUGUCAAUACAUACCUUGAUCUCUUUCAAGGUAAUGGUCAUGAAAAUUAAGAACGGAACAACAAAUUGUUCAUUCAAGAGAAUGAACAGUUUAGGUGUGGGAGAUGGUAAUUUUCUGGCUACCUUUUCUCUAUAAUAAUUUUGGAGUUGUUGACUAGCUUCUCUCUACUGGUUUGGAAAAACCUGUUGGUGGAUGUUUGUGUUUUUGUUCACUGGAAGAAGAAGAAAGUUUUCUUUCUUUUUCAACAAAACCUUAAAAAAAAACUUUCUUCUUUAAUGAUUUUUGCUGGAUGACAGAAUGGAGCGCUUUGGCAUGCUGAUAAGUGCAGUUUUUGUGUAUGUAAAUAGGCCAUGAAAUGGCAGAUCUAAGGUUGAUUGUUUGGUGCUAUAACAACUGGUACUAAAUUUUUGUUGUACUAGUCAUGAGAUUAACCUGUUGAUUUAUGUUUUCAUGUUAGUAUGAAGAAGAAGGUUGCAACAUGUAACAUCAUUUUGAUAGCUAUGGUAAUAGCUUGUACAUAGUCUAACCUGUUAGUUGCAAUGAAACCCUGAAUGUAUGCUU